UUCCACAGCUACUGGUAUGCAACUGUUCUUAUGGUAGCAGUUGUGGCAUUCCUCUGCGGCAAAGAAGCUUAUAACAUUAAACACCUCUUUCUUAGCAAAACAGAAAGUGGCCAUAUCUAUAACAAAUAAGA